ensembl:lncRNA
CGGAAAUAGGAGUAUGACCGGUCAACGAUGGCGGCCGUAUUUCUAGCCCCUGUAUCUCAAAUUGAACCCAAAAAAAAAAUUGCCCCUGAUCUAUUCAUCUAUAAUUCCGAUCGGGCAUUAUGACAAAGUAGACGUGUAGGCCGCUAGAGUGUACAUCGACAUUUUCCGCAUGUACACUCAACCCUGUACUUUCUGGGUGGGCUAAGCCCCGAAUGUAUUGUGGUCCUAGCGACGCCUCUGGGUGAGACUAUGGGAAAGAUGUGGCUUGACAGCAACGUACCAAGCGUAAAGAGCUGAGUUUCCAGGCUGAGGAUGUGAAAGGAAGCGGACAGGAAGAGAAGGGAAGAGGAAGGGCAAGAGCCUGAGAAAACAGAUUGAGAGGCAGAUAGCCAGAGGGACAAUUCACCACUCAUUCCAGCCCUGCAGAAGAAAUUGGACAAGCAUCUAACUCCCAGACCUCCCAGUGCUGCCAGUCAGUUCUCAUCCAGGGCCCUGUCUGAGGGUCCCGGAAUUGGAGCGGAUCGGGAGCCUGUGGUGGCUGCUAGGAGGAUUCAGGAGAAAAAGGAACUGCAUAUAGUAAAUGUGGAUAAAGUGGAGACUUACCUUGAGACAUCUGAGUCGGAGCCCCAACAGGGACUCCUGGUUGCUGCUGCCCCGGGUUUCCCGAUGACGCUUCCUCCGGUUCCAUCUUCUCCUCUUGGAUCACAUCAGGAGAAGGUAGGGGGGUUGGUUCAGGCAGAUGUUGAUUUGGAUACCCUUUCUUCCACUACAAUUAUUAUUCUACCAGGUAAGGAGCCUAGAUCUGUUUGUCAUGAACCAAUUAGACAUCCAAAUUCCACCAAUAAACUUUAUGACUGGGUACUUACCAUUAGAAAACCCAUUGUUAUAAUGGGAGAAUUGAAUAUUUCAAGGAAACCUCAGUUUGCUGAUCUCAGAGUACAGGCAGAUAGCUUCCCGGGGGCUACUUUCCACCAUCUGAAAGGAGUAAUUGAAACCUUACAAGAACAUCCAGAGGUGGAAAAGGUGGUGCUUUCAGGGGGUUUGAAUAAUUGUCUUUCUAAGCAGUUACCAUUGACUGCUUGGAAACAAUUACAACAGCUCUUAAAGAUGGCGGAAAAUUUCCUAAUGCCUUGCUUUAUGUACCAAUUAUCAAUUAUUCAGAUAGAUUGGAGAAACAGCAACAACUAUUGUUGGAACAACUAAAUCAAAAGAUAUUGGAGAGAUGCAACUCCUUGCCUGAGAUCAGCAAACUGAGGUUCCAUACACUCCCAAGAGAUCCGGUUCAUUGGACACCUGAAACAGGGAAUCUUAUAUUAAACUCAUGGCUUG